AUUGAACGCUGGCGGAAUGCUUUACACAUGCAAGUCGAACGGUAGAAGGGGCAACCCCUUGAGAGUGGCGAACGGGUGAGUAAUAUAUCGGAACGUGCCCAGUCGUGGGGGAUAACGUAGUGAAAAUUACGCUAAUACCGCAUACGAUCUAAGGAUGAAAGCGGGGGAUCGCAAGACCUCGCGCGAUUGGAGCGGCCGAUAUCAGAUUAGGUAGUUGGUAGGGUAAAGGCCUACCAAGCCAACGAUCUGUAGCUGGUCCGAGAGGACGACCAGCCACACUGGAACUGAGACACGGUCCAGACUCCUACGGGAGGCAGCAGUGGGGAAUUUUGGACAAUGGGCGAAAGCCUGAUCCAGCCAUUCCGCGUGCAGGAUGAAGGCCCUCGGGUUGUAAACUGCUUUUGUACAGAACGAAAAGGUCUCUAUUAAUACUAGGGGCUCAUGACGGUACUGUAAGAAUAAGCACCGGCUAACUACGUGCCAGCCGCCGCAGUAA
rnacentral:rRNA from 1 species